AGCAGUGGGAUUGCUGGAUCAUAUAGUAGUUAUAUAUUUAGUGUUUUGAGGAACCUCCAUACUGUUCUCCAUAGUAGCUGUACUAAUUUACAUUCCUGGAAACAGUAUAUGAGAGUUCCCUUUUGUCCACAUCCUCGCCGGCAUUUGUCAUUCCCUGUCUUUUGGAUAUGAUCCUUUAACUGGGGUGAGAUGAUAUCUCAUUGUAGUUUUGAUUUGCAUUUCUCUGAUCAGUGAUGCUGAGCACCUUUUCAUAUACCCGUUUGCUAUUUGUAUGUCUUCUUUAGAGAAAUGUCUACUCAAAUCUUUGGCCCACUUUUUAAUUGAAUUAUUAGCUUUUUCUCCCAUUGAAUUAUUUGAGCUCCUUAUAUAUUCUUUUAUUAAUCCCUUGUCAAUUAUUUUUCUUACAUUUAUAAAAAUGUCUGAGCUCCACUGACAGGAAAGGGGCCAGUUGAAACCUCUUUCCUAAUGGAAUGAAUACACUUUCUUCUCUGUCUCUUGUUCUUUUUCAUUCAUACUUAAGCUACUAAAAAAGGAGAGGAAUUUCAAAUACAAGUGCUUUUAUUGCCCAAUACUUCUAGUCUCCCACGGGCCAAGCCAUGGGCCAUUAGCAAAAGCAUUAUAGUUGGUUUCCACAGAGAAGCAUAAGGUGAUUUCCAUGGUAACCAUGACCAAAAUGGAAAUGGCAGAUCAUAUUGCAUCUGGGAGCUAAUUGUUGGCUAUAGAGGACCACGGAUACAAUGGUCUUUGUGGGACCCAUGGUCUCAGAAUGGUGACGCUGGAUGCCAGCCAAAGUUUCUAAGUGAAUGAGCUUGAACAAACUUAAUUUGUUAAGCUGUACAGAUGAGAAUCACAAUUGGAUAAAUCCAGAUUUGAGACUUGGCCCGUAUUUUGUCUAGGAACUAGGCCAGGUUUGGUGUUGUAGAUGAUAUGAAGGCUUCUUCGAUGGCUAAGGAAUAAAGCUCUACCUGGGAGUACCUAACCUGGGCAGGCUAGAUGCUGUCUACUGCUGUCUGUUCUGUAAGUCACAUAGUGCCCUCUUGGGUUCUAUUUCAGAACAGAGCCUACAUUAUGACCUCCAUGUGGCCCUCUUGUCUUGCUGUAGGAACAGCUAAGUUUCAGGCAUGACUUGAAGUGAAGGUCACGCCAAGGGGUGAUGGUCUUGUGGAUGCUGCCAUGGGCCUAGUUCGUCUCAGAAAGUCUCCAUUUCUUCCAGGAUCUCCCCAGGACUGAACAAAAAACCAAUCAAUGCCUGGCAUAGCAGGGAGCUGCCAAGACCCUGCUGCAGCAUUACAGCCAGUAUUGGUUCCAGCUGAUCAGCAUGUUUGCCAUACUAGUUCGAAAUGGAAUAUGGAGCAGAGUGCCAAUGUAUGUCCAUAUACAUUCUCUACCUAGACAAGAAAGGAUUGCUCUGUUCCCAGAAUUCUCGCCUUGAUUCAAAGAACUAACAUUUCUGGGAGAAGCUAGCUGAGGCUGGCAUAGAUUAUUCUAAAGAGGUAAUACCAUCCCAAGUGUGCACGCAAUGGAAUUAGUCCAUUAACAGCAUCCUGCCCUCAUGCAGGAAGCAUCAUCAACCAUCAACUUAGCAACCUCCCCUCCCUGCAUUGUUAUGGAAAGGGUAUGGUUUCUGGGACAGUCCAGUUAUAUGUGGAUUCAUUCUUACAACAAUUUGCUUCAAUAAUCUAAAAACUGAAAAAGAUGACUUUUCUGUUAAUUCAUGCCUUUGGAGGAGAACAUGCUAUUGACUUUAUGUUUUUGAGCAUUACUUGCUUGGUAGGAUGGGGCAUGAGUUUGUUCUGUAAUAAUGCUUUUUAAAUUAGUCCUCCUUCGGCAUUCUUUAAGUCCCUGGUCCUCAUAAAAAUGUAGGCUCUAAUACUUUACCACUGUGAAGACCGCUUACCUGUUUCUCUUCCUCCAAAAGCUGCCUUCUCCAAUCUAUCCUGAAGAUUAUGAUAUCAUAUUUUCCCUAAAACAUUAUGUUUACAAUGUCAAUAUCCUUUGUUAGCUAUCUUUGGCUCCCCAUUUCCUAAGUGAAAUUAUCUAGACUUCAGUGUUUUUCAGUGUUUUCCAGGAUAUGACCAAACAUCUUCCCAACUCAAUCUUUCCCUUCGUAGGAGCGCAGUUUUCUAGUCGAAUUGAUCUGCCAGCUGUCUGUUAUUCAGGCUUAUUAACUCACCUUUAUUUCAUUUUUAUCCUCCCUUUUCAUGGAAUAGCAACCCAUUUUCUUCUGCCUAUCUUCUACUUUCUGAAUCCAAUCUGUACCAAUAAAGUUCUAUGGUAUUGACUAUAAAUGCCAUGGAAUUUCACUUGAGGUGCAUGUGGUCUAGUCAUUCAAGCAACAUUUGUUGUGCUUAUACUGUGUCUUACCCACAGUUUUAGGUACGGUUAACAACAAUAAUCACAGUUAAAACAUGUGCUACACAUUCUUCUGAGUGUUUUUAUAAUAACUGCUCAUUUAAUCCACACUUUAACUCAAAUAAUAUUAAUGUCAAUGUGGACCAGGUACAGACUACUCUCUCAAGACUCUGUCUUUUGGGGGAAGAUAGAAAGUGAACGGUAAUCAUGAUAUAGUUUGGUAACAGAGUUACCCACAAGGUACUAUGAGAAUACAUACAGUAUUAACUUUAUAUUACCGUGUGACAAAUUACCACAAAUUUAGUGGCUUAAAACAACACAAAUUUAUUAUCUCAUAGUUUCUAUAGGUCUGAAGUCUGGGCAUGGCAUCUCCAUAUUUUCUGCUCAUGGUCUCACAGGGCUGAAAUCAACAUGCCAGCCAGACUGCAUCUCAUCUGGGGCUUGAGAUUGUCUUCCAAAGCUCACUGGUUGCUGGAAGAAUUUAUUUCCUUGAGGUUGCAGUAGAAUUGAGGGCUACGUUUUCUUGCUGGCUGUGGGCGUGAUUUUCUUUCAUUCCUGGAGGCCUGUGUAAGGUCCUUUCCACGUGUCUCCACGCAUCGUCAAUCCAGCAAUAGCCCAUCAAACCUCCUCCAUGCUUCAAGUUUUUUACUUUCUCUUCUGCAGCCAGGUAGAGAAAACUUUGCUUUUAAAGGGUUCAUGUGAUUAGACCAGGCCCACGUAUAUAGUUUCUCUUCUGUUAACUCAAAGUCAACUGAUGAAUAACUGUAAUCACAUUGAUGAUAUCCCUUUUGCCACAUAAUAUAAUCAUGGGAGUGGUGUCCCAUCAUAUGGGGAGGGAAAUAUACAUGGGAGAGGGUCAUUGAAGGUCAUCUUAGAAUUCUGCCUGGGAACACAUAGAAUGACUACUUUACCUAAUUUUGGGAUUGAAAUAAAAAUGGGUAGGGCAGGAGGAAAACAUUUCAAAAAAGUGAUCUCCAAACAGAGAACUAAAUGGUUUAUGGAAAUUAGCCAGGUAAAGAAGGAAAUAAAUGAAAUGGGAAGGAGAGGGCUUCAGUUAAAUGUGGGAGGGAUAAUAUUUAAUGUAAACCACUGUUCUUUUUCUUCCUGAUCCUUCUUUGUCUUCUCUUAAGUAUUUUGUGUGAAUUUUUAUUUCUGAUAUUUCUCUCUGUACUGUAACCUGUCCCUUUGUUUUAGGUGGCAGCUAGGGAAGAGAUAUGGCAAUAUUCAGCUUUCGUGUCCAUAGAAGAAUGUUUAAACUCGUGGUGGAGUCAGUAGAUAAAAGCAAUUUUUUUUCAAUGUCAAAAGUCAAAACCCCAAAGGACUCAGACUUAGAAAUUGGGAUUGCAAGACUAAGAAUCUGUCAGUCAGUUUUUGCAAAUGAGAAGAGAUGCAUUCUUCUUUUUUUCUUAUUUAUUUUUAUUUUUUAUUGCAUUUUAGGUUUUGGGGUACAUGUGCAGAACAUGCAAGACAUUUGUAUAGGUACACACAUGGCAGUGUGUUUUGCUUCCUUUCUCCCCUUCACCCACAUUUGUCAUUUUUCCCCAGGCUAUUCCUCCCGAGCUCCCCCCUCCCCACUGGCCCUCCCCCUUUCCCCCCAUAGACCCCAGUGUUUAGUACUCCCCUCUCUGUGUCCAUGUGUUCUCAUUUUUCAUCACCCGCCUAUGAGUGAGAAUAUGCGGGAUUUCAUUUUCUGUUCUUGUGUCAGUUUGCUGAGAAUGAUGUUCUCCAGAUUCAUCCAUGUCCCUACAAACGACACGAACUCAUCAUUUCUGAUUGCUGCAUAAUAUUCCAUGGUGUAUAUGUGCCACAUUUUCCCAAUCCAGUCUAUCAUCAAUGGGCAUUUGGGUUGAUUCCAGGUCUUUGCUAUUGUAAACAGUGCUGCAAUGAACAUUCGUGUGCAUGUGUCCUUAUAGUAGAACGAUUUAUAGUCUUUUGGAUAUAUACCCAGUAAUGGGAUUGCUGGGUCAAAUGGAAUUUCUAUUUCUAAGGCCUUGAGGAAUCGCCAUACUGUCUUCCACAAUGGUUGAACUAAUUUACACUCCCACCAACAGUGUAAUAGUGUUCCUAUUUCUCCACAUCCUCUCCAGCAUCUGUUGUCUUCAGAUUUUUUAAUGAUCGCCAUUCUAACUGGCAUUAGAAGACAUUAACGAGGAGAUGACUGUGUGGCGUGUCUAGACAGAGGCCUGAAAUAGCCUCAUUGAGUUUUCUGCCACCCUAGAGAGGUAUUUUCCAGCAUUCCUGACCAGGCUUAAAGACAAAAUGCAGCAGAAGAUGCUGGGUAAGUCUGUAGAAACAGACUACGUGGGACCAAAGCCUCAAAGCAGAUGUAGGUGGGGAAGUUGCUGAUGAGUGGUCAGUGGGGGUGUGGCAGUCCAUUUCUGCAUUGCUAUGAAGAAGCACCUGAGCCUGGGUCAUUCCUAAAGAAAAGACAUUAAAUUGGCUCACAGUUCUGCAGGCUGUACAGGAUGUAUGAUGUUGCUAUCUGCUCAGCUUCUGGUGAGGGCCUCAGGGCGCUUUUGCUCAUGGCAGAAGGUUAAGCCGGAGCAGGCACAUCACAUGGCGAGAGUGGGACCAAGUUCGAGAGAAGAGAAAGAGUCCCAGACUCUUUUCAACAACCCGAUCUCACGCAAACUAACUGAGCAAGAACUCAUCUAUCACCCAAAUGAUGGUGCUAAGCUAUUCAUGAGGGGUCUGUCCCCACGACCCUGUCACCACCUGCCAGGUCCCACUCCAUCACUAGGAAUCACAUUUCAACGUGACAUUUGGAGGGGACAAAUAACCGAAACAUCAGGAGGAUGCCCAUCUCAGCAGGUGUCAGCAGGGAGAGUGGACAGUGCCAAGGUCAUACCCAAACCUAAAUAUUCUCUAAGCUUCCCUGGGAUUUAGAUGUAAUCAUUGGAAGAAGGGGAAACUAAAAAUGCAGAACUGAGAGAGAGAACUUUGAUUGGAACCAGAAAAACCUAACGUGACUAAGUUCCUACCUCUAAAUGGGGUCUCGAGCUAGAAAUCACAUUCAAUUAUAAAAAAAAAAAAAAAAGAAAGUUACAUUUCUAGACAUCUGAGUUUGUGUCCUGGGAAAUUUGUAUCUACUGUGUAAUUUAGGAAAUGUGAAAUUUUUGUGACUAAGGAGCCUGGAGAGGGAGGGACUUGAGCUGGAUUUUAUAGGGUUUGCAGCAUGCACAGGAACAAUCCAAUGUGAGUGGGGGGAUGCAUGUAGAACAUACACAAAGCGAGAGAAGUGGGAAUGGGGGCAAAGUUGGGAUGAAGCCUAAUUGUAAAUUCAUGCACAGGAUUCAUUCGGGAGAACACAUGGGUGGACAUGGAGGGUGAAGCCAGGAUAUGGAGAGCCUUGUGGGGCCAGGAAGAAGAGGUGCUGCAUAGUUUUGUAAGAUUUUAAGCUUAAUAGGGAGGAAAAAGUGAUACGACAUUUUUUGAGUGUUUUCUGAAAGCCAGGUACUUUGCAAAUAAUUUAUUUAUAAUAAUCUUCAUGGUAUUUAUAAUCCCCAUUUUACAGAUGAAUACACUGAAGUUCAGAGAUGUUAAAUUAUUUAUGUGGAUUCAAAUAGCUGGUGAUUGGCAGAGCAUGAUUUAAACUCUUGUUCUUGGCUCCAAAACCUAGGUAUUUCCCACCGUAUACUAGGCUCCCACUGGUAGAUUUCUGAACAGGAGAGAGGCUUGAAAAAUCAGUACUUUGAAAGUUUGGCCUGGCACAGUUGCGAAUGAUGGACUUGGAGAGCGAAGGCCCUAGAGAGCAGAAACGGGAACCUUAAUUUGGGGAGCAAGGGAUACAGGCUGGACUUGGGAAAUGCUAAUGGAAAAGAGAAAAAGGACAUAUCCAAAAAAUGUUUUGAAGAAAGAACCUGUAUGAGAUAGUUGGUUUCUUUUUUUUUUUUUUUUUUGUCUAAAUGAUUUUUCUCCCUAGUUUCCAGUGGUUUCACCUACAUUAUCUAUAAACCUGCAGCCGUUAAAAAAAUCAUAAAACAUUAAAAAGGAGUAAUAGCCCAAGGCUUUUCACUUUGGCAGGUUUAUCCAAGGACAUCUAGUUCUCAUAAUUAGUUUCCAGGUGUGAGCUCUACCUACAGUGUUUCAAAUAAAUAGCUUAACUUUCUCCACGUUCUACGAUAGGAAAAUUCAUUGAGCCAGUGUUGCAGCUUUCCACACAUCCAGAGCUACACAGACUGUUUUUCUGUAACACGUGGGAAAAGAACAAUGAAGGCACAGUCCUCUGAGAUGUCUGAAAUUUAUGCCCACGUUUUCCUGGAAUUUCUGGUAAUGAGGCAUCUGCCACAAGCAGCUGGUCCCUAUUUCUAAGGUAGGUCUGCAUAACAGAGGCUCCGAUGUUUUGUGAGAGGAGUUAAUUUUCUUUUCACAAGGCCUUGCUAUCAACUGCAGUUACAUGAACUAAGAUAAAAGUCUAGGUUCUUGAUAAAGUUCAGGUACAUUGGUUGCAAGCAAUAAAAACAGAUGCAGGCUAGUUUAAGCCAAAAAAAAAAAAAAAAAAGUGAAAAAUUCCAGGAUAUUUCAUGGGACUGAAAGGAAGCUAAAAAGUCAGGGACAUUGGGCAGCUUUGGAGAUCUCAGCAGCAGGACUUGGUGGACUUUUGAAGAUUCCUGAAAUUGACACAGUCCAGCUACUCCAGUUCAAAUUCCCAGGGAAUGAUUUGGUUGGCCCAGUCAGAUGUGGGCCUCCCCCUGUGCAUGACAGGUCAUUUCCAGAAUAUGAACUCAGUCCCAGUUAGGCAGGAAUCCCAUGACAUGUCUAUAGUAAUGGCCUUGGAGUAGGAUAGAUCUGGGUUAAAUCCCAGCUGUUGUCUGUUCAUUCAUAAAUACUUAUUGGGGAUCUCUCAUGUUCUAGACAUAUUUUAUACUCAUAGGUGUUUAAUAAAUGUGGGUUUCCCCUUCCUGGAGAAAGAGACGAGCAUAGACUAUAGAGACAUUUUCUGGUGUAUGUGGGUUCUGAUAGUCAAGUUCAUCAAUGAAGAAAGGAUUUAUAAACAUCCGUCCUGACCGUUUCUGUUAAGAAUUAAGGCAAGCUCCAGAGGACCCUUGAUGGAAAAGGGUUAUUUAUAGCAGUAAGUGGCUAGGUAAAUUACUGGAUAAGACUUCAAGAUUGAGUUUAUAAAUGUGAAUUUGUAUAAUUUUUCAGGAGAGUAAAUAGUAAUACAUACCAAAGCCUAAAAAUGUAUAUUUUUUGGCCCAGAAAUCUUAUUUCUAGGCAUUUAUCCAAUGGAAAUAAUCUGGCAAGAGUAGAAAUAAAAUGUUCAACAUGGUAGGCUUAAAAUUGGAAAAUACUAUAAAUGUCCAACAAAACAAGAUUGUUUGCAUUUUAUCAUAAAAUAUGUGUAAUGGACAACCUACAUUUUAUUAAUACCAUGUAAAAGGCUAUUAAAAUGAAAGGUGCUAAGCAAUGUGAAGAGCAUGUAAAGCUGUAUAAUUCUCAUUUUUUUUUUUGGUGAAAA